UUGAAAUCAACACAAGUGACAUUCAAAAGGGAGUUAAUGGCGUGGGGGCUGUUUUGAGUCAUCAUCAAGGGCUGAGUUUAAUUACUUGGUUAUUUUAAUCAUUUUUCAUCAAUUAAGACAAAUAAAAUUCAGCCAUUUAAAAGCCUAUCUAGAGUGGUUACACAAGGAGCAUAAAAAGGACAAUCAAAGCCUUAAAUGGCGUGUGGCUAGUUAUAGAGAAGGAGUUACAAUAGCUGAUUUCAUAAAUGUCAUUUUAUUACUAGUUUAAUUGCAUUUUAUGUUGCAUUUUUAUUUGUGUUGUAAUUUGGCUAUGCAUUUUUCGGCCAUAUAAGCUAUGUAUGAUCAUUUUUGAAUCAUUCAAUAAACAAGAACAAUUUCAGUCAAAUUAGAAUUUGUGUCUACAUUUUCACCUGAUUAUUUGCAAGUGUCACCUUGAAAAUAGUCCGAUUAGCUCAAUUGGUGUUGAGUGCUAAUCUCUUUGUUAGGCUAUUGGUGUAGUUUAACAUUGCCUAUCCCUUGCCUUUUCACUAAAACAAAAGAAACAAAUACCCAAAACACUUAAUAGAAUUCGACUAAUAAGGGUGGUACCUAGUACCUUCGUUAUUGGUUGUUUGCUUCCGCUAUCCUUACGAAUUAAGCACACUAAUUCGUAUCA
rnacentral:lncRNA from 1 species